rfam:Tupaia chinensis contig5778, whole genome shotgun sequence.
AUCCUUUUGUUGUUCAUAAGCAUCAUGAAUGGGUGUUCAUGCUGUGUGAGGUAAAUCUUCCUCAAGCCUUGUUAGGAUUCUGGCGAUUCUGGCAUAGUUCCUGUCUGGCA